rnacentral:rRNA from 1 species
GAGUUKGAUCCUGGYUCARAACGAACGCUGGCGGCKUGCCUAACACAUGCAAGUCGAACGUGAUCCAWAGCUUGCUCUGGUGAAAGUGGCGCACGGGUGAGUAACGCGUGGAUAACCUACCCUGGUAUCCGGGAUAACAUUCCGAAAGGGGUGCUAAUACCGGAUAAGCCCACGGGCUCUUUGGAGCUUGCGGGAAAAGGUGGCCUCUAUUUAUAAGCUACUGUAUCAGGAUGGGUCCGCGUACCAUUAGCUAGUUGGCGGUGUAACGGACCACCAAGGCGACGAUGGUUAGCUGGUCUGAGAGGAUGAUCAGCCACACUGGAACUGAGACACGGUCCAGACUCCUACGGGAGGCAGCAGUGGGGAAUUUUGCGCAAUGGGGGAAACCCUGACGCAGCAACGCCGCGUGAGUGAUGAAGGYCUUUGGGUCGUAAAGCUCUGUCAGAGGGGAAGAAAUGAUAUAGUGCUAAUACYACUUUAUCUUGACGGUACCCUCAAAGGAAGCACCGGCUAACUCCGUGCCAGCAGCCGCGGUAAUAC